UGGGGAAUAUUGCACAAUGGGCGAAAGCCUGAUGCAGCAACGCCGCGUGAGCGAAGAAGGUCUUCGGAUCGUAAAGCUCUGUCCUUGGGGAAGAUAAUGACGGUACCCUUGGAGGAAGCCACGGCUAACUACGUGCCAGCAGCCGCGGUAAUACGUAGGUGGCAAGCGUUGUCCGGAUUUACUGGGUGUAAAGGGCGUGUAGGCGGAGAAGCAAGUCAGAAGUGAAAUCCAUGGGCUUAACCCAUGAACUGCUUUUGAAACUGUUUCCCUUGAGUAUCGGAGAGGCAGGCGGAAUUCCUAGUGUAGCGGUGAAAUGCGUAGAUAUUAGGAGGAACACCAGUGGCGAAGGCGGCCUGCUGGACGACAACUGACGCUGAGGCGCGAAAGCGUGGGGAGCAAACAGGGAUUAGAUACCCUGGUAGU
rnacentral:rRNA from 1 species